CGGCUGUUAGCUCAGUUGGUAGAGCAGUUGACUCUUAAUCAAUAGGUCCAAGGUUCGAAUCCUUGACAGCCCACCA
rnacentral:tRNA from 1 species